GGCAUGGUGGCUGAGUGGUAAAGCACUUGGCUUCCAAACCAAGGGGUCCCAGGUUCAAAUCCUGGUUAAGAUU
rnacentral:tRNA from 1 species